CUCCACUAGAUGAUAACAUUUUAUACCUUCUAUAAAUGGUGUAUUCAAUGCUUGUAAAUAUACCACUUACCCCCUCUCCCAAGCACCUCUCUCUUCCCCCCCUCCCCACAUGCAGAAGUCCCAUCAUCUGUAUCUUAUAAUUAUUAAAGUUCUGAAUUUCUACAACAUUUUAUUUAUACAGUGCAGUGAUGAAAAGUGAAGGCAAGAAUGACAACAUUCAGCACUUGCCGGCGUGGCUCAGUGCUUGGAGCGUCAGCCUGCACACCGAAGGGUCUUGGACUUGGUUCCUGGUGUGACCGGGGGCACAUACCCGGGUUGCUGGUUCGGGGCACGUGUGGGAGGCAACCAAUGAAGUGUCUCUUUCACAUUGGUAUUUCUCUCUCCCUGCCCCUCCACUCUCUCUAAAAAUCAAUGGAAAAAAUAUCCUCACUCCUCGGGCCCAGUCAGGGACACAUUCCAGCUGGUUUCUAUCAAAAAUAAAUCAACACAAGCCAUCAUUUACGAUGAUGAGUGGAACUCAUUUCAUUAGUCUGUAAUAUACCUGUUAAUUGGCCCAUGAGCCCCUUGAGGGCAGGAGCACUAUACCUAAGAAUUCUUGGUCCACUACCAGAAUGCACGAGGUGCUCAAUGAAUGUCGCUGAUAGAGAGGUGGACAGAGAUAAGCACCCAAACAUGUAUACUCCUGGAUCGAUUAUACUGCAUGCUCAAAGAAGAUACAAAGUCUCUCAACAGCAGGAAAGCAUACAUAUGAUGGAAUGACUGAAGGAGAAAUGUGGAAAGACUUAAUGGAAGAAGUGGCAUUUUAAACAAACCUUUGAAGAUGACUACAGAUAUUACUUAGUCUCUCUUGGCCUCAAUGUACCUACUGAUCAGUCGAUUGAGACGACGAGGCAGAAUGAAGUGAGGGCUGUAAGAGAAAUGAAGAUACAGCUACGAUGGCUGAGUGAAAGAAGCACUUUUGUCUGGAAUGGAUCAAGGCGAGCUCCCCAAGAAAUAGGACAUCUGGGUUAGAAUUUGAAGAAUGUGGGACAAUGACCUGAAGAGAGGAGGACAUUCUAAGAAAGAGGGGACAACAUGAGUGAGAACACAAAGGCAAGGAAAGAAAUGGCAUGGAACAUGUGGGAAUUAUAACAAGCAGUUUGGGGAAACGGAACAAAGAGUGGUAAGAAACAGGCUGGAGAAAACGAAAUCAUGUCCAGAAGACUGUGACUUUACCCUGCAGGUAUAGGGGGAUCACUGAAGAAUUAGUAAGUUAAGUACAAUGUCAGUUUUGUAAUUUAAAAAGUUCACUCUGUGGCUACAGUGAGGUCUGGUUGAGAUGAUUAUAUUAGUAAAAGGAAGACUAAUCAGGAAGCUGUUACAGAAUUCCAGACAAGAGAUGAUAUAGGCCUAAGUGAGUGGUGAUACAUGUGGAAGGGAGGGAGGGACUUCAGAAGUAUUUAGAUUUCUUGUGCCUCAAAACUACCAAAUUAUCCACGUAUGUCUUUUAAAUAUUAGGAAUCAAACAAGCACCACCUUUAUGAAGCACACUCACCUGGAAAGUUCUAAAGAUGUGAGAAGACUGGGUACUGGAUAGACAUUCACUGCUGUCAGCCCUAAUUGAAAAACAAAAGGGUGUCAGUAACGUUGUUUAAAGAACAAAGUAACUGAAAGUAAAUAAGGAAAAAGUGACAGCGUCAGAAAGAAAACAGGCCACCUACUAACAUGAACUAAAGACAAAAGCCACUGGGUAAAGCACAUGAAUGGCGUGGUCCCAAUUUGAAGACCAAAUACAACGAAUGAAGGAUCGUGUGUACUGCACUGGACUCACGCCAGACGAGGCAGUUGUUAACAGUAACUACUUAAUUUUUUAAAAAAUUGAUAAUUGGAUUUUCACUGGCAAUAUUUUUAACUUUCAAUUACAGUACAACAUAGAUACAGAAAAGGGCAACAAUCUUACGCGCACAGAUCGCUACAUUUUUACACACAGAACACACCAGUGUAGCCAGUGCCCACUUAGGAAGCGGACCACUACCAGCUCCCAGGAGCUUCCUCUCAUUCGCCUUCCAGUCUCUGCCCCUCGCCGCCCUUGCUCCCUAUACCACAGGCUACUUUUGCUUAUUUACAUAAAUUACACAUACAGUCUGUAAAGUUUCUGAUCUGGCUUCAUUCACUCCUUAUUGCACUUGUGGGAUCUGUUCACAUUACUGCAUGUGGGUGUAGUUCAUUCAUUCUCCCGGCAGUACGAAACUGUUUAUAUGACUGUAUCACAAUUUGUUUAUUCAUUUUAGGGUUACAGCACUGAAGUCUUUUCGAGUUGGGGUGACUACAAAUAGUGCUUCUAUGAAUAUUUUUUCCAUAUCUUUUGUGGACUAAUAUAAGCAUUUAUGUUGAGUA